rnacentral:misc_RNA from 1 species
UACGGAGGGUGCAAGCAUUGAUCGGAAUUACUGGGCGUAAAGGGCGUCUAGGCGGCGUCUUAAGUUGGGCGUGAAAUCUUCCGGCUCAACCGGAAGGGUGCGUCCAAUACUGGGACGAUUGAGGGCAGCAGAGGGAGGUGGAAUUCCCGGUGUAGCGGUGGAAUGCGUAGAUAUCGGGAGGGAUACCAGUGGCGAAGGCGGCCUCCUGGGCUGUACCUGACGCUGAAGCGCGAAAGCGUGGGGAGCAAACGGG